rnacentral:snRNA from 1 species
AGCUUUGUGCAGUGGCAGUAUGGUAGCCAAUGAGGAUGUCUGAGGAGUGAUUAUUGCUAAUGGAAAAAAAAAAGAUGGUAAUGUAAUCAUCAGCAUGGUUCUCCCCCACAUUUAUUAAAUAAAAUUUCAAAUU